rnacentral:rRNA from 1 species
GACGAACGCUGGCGGCGUGCUUAACACAUGCCAGUCGAACGGAAAGGCCCUGCUUUUGUGGGGUGCUCGAGUGGCGAACGGGUGAGUAACACGUGAGUAACCUGCCCUUGACUUUGGGAUAACUUCAGGAAACUGGGGCUAAUACCGGAUAGGAGCUCCUGCUGCAUGGUGGGGGUUGGAAAGUUUCGGCAGUUGGGGAUGGACUCGCGGCUUAUCAGCUUGUUGGUGGGGUAGUGGCUUACCAAGGCUUUGACGGGUAGCCGGCCUGAGAGGGUGACCGGCCACAUUGGGACUGAGAUACGGCCCAGACUCCUACGGGAGGCAGCAGUGGGGAAUAUUGCACAAUGGGCGGAAGCCUGAUGCAGCAACGCCGCGUGCGGGAUGACGGCCUUCGGGUUGUAAACCGCUUUCGCCUGUGACGAAGCGUGAGUGACGGUAAUGGGUAAAGAAGCACCGGCUAACUACGUGC